UGAGGAACAUCCGCCAUUACAGCCUGUUCCACCUCAAGGGCUGCAUAGGCAACCUGAGACAAUACAGGUUAGGCAUGUCCAACUGGAUAUUUUGGAUCCAGAUGAUGACAGUAGUGAUUACAGCAGUGAUGAUGGAAGCUCGGACGAUGACGAUUGAUUAAGGGAUGAUUUGAGAUGAUGAUAUGCUAAAAGGAUUUAAGGAAAGUGUGAGAUACUGAUGAUGUUUGCACCAUUUUGGAUCAUUUUGUAACUUUUACAAUAGCACAAGCAGACAAUAUCAUUGACUACUAUCAUUUUCUUGGUAUUCCUAACUUUGAUACUGAAUAACUAAAGGAACCAAAGAUCAUAUUGCCAUGUUUUGAGCAGAUGGGUUUCUAUGGUUUGGUAUCUCUCAACAGAAGCAUCAAAAAGUGAAGUGUUUGCAGUGGGUUUCCAUGAUUUAUCUGAAUGAUCCUUUCACUUAAACAGUGGGAUAAAAAGUGCUAUUCAUGCUAUUUAGUUAGAGGUAGAAGUAUAAUAUGAAAGAAACAAAAUUAAUGAAUACUUCUACUUAGAAGGAAGGAAAUUCAUUUGCAAAUAGUUGUGGAUUCCUCCCAAACAGUAGAAUUUUAUCUAAUUCUUAAAGGAUAUUUUAGGUGA